rfam:Coccomyxa subellipsoidea C-169, whole genome shotgun sequence.
GUCGAUGUUGUAUAGUGGUUAGUACACCACGUUGUGGCCGUGGAGACCAGGGCUCGAUUCCCUGCUUCGACA